AGCUCUUUCAGAUGUAAAAGCACAUAUUGCAUAGGAAAUUAUUAUCUUCGAAGCAUACUCACAUUUCACUAACAAAUAGGGGGAGGUUCAGACUUCAGAGCAAUGAUAACAAGGGUGGUGAGGGAUAGAACUGGUCAUGUUGAAAGUCAGUUUAGUGCAUCAAGGAUGGGAGGUUAAGAGAUUUGCAAGAGGUGAUGGAGGAUGGUUAGUUAUUGUGGCUCAUUAUAUAGUAGUGAAAGAUGAGUACAAGCAUAAGCUUAUUCAAAAUUGCAGUUCUUGAUUCAUGGGUAUAUUUUGUAAUCUUUUUCAUUUCUUCUAAGAGGAUCAAAUAUGUAUUUUGUUCUUCCCAAUGUUCUGAAGGACGGUUUGCAUUGAUAUAGUAUAACAUA